rnacentral:other from 1 species
GCGGGGCUGCGCGGUGCGACAGGUCGCUUUGUCCCUGGGGCCGUAGCACUUCUCUUAGGGAGCUGUCCCUGCCGGGAUCGUGGUCCCGGCAAACGGCGCCCACCUGCUGUUGCAGGGCCCAAGAGGAGACGAUAUGACCACCGGCCGAUGCGGCUCCGCU